GAGAAUCAGUGAUGUCAGAACCAGAAAAGGCCUAUGUUGUGAGGCAGGUCUGUUACAUUUCCCAGAAUGGUUCCCAGCUCUGGAGAUAAUUCCUUUUCGGAGAACCUACAUUUCUCACCUGCUGAUUGCAAUUAGCCACUGCCAGCUGGGGCCUGGUGUGCAGCUGAAAAGCUAACAAGAAGUGGGGACCACGCAGAACCCAGACAGGGCAUAGGAGCCAACUCUCCAUUUUACUGAUGAGGAAAACUGAGGCCAAGUGAAUUAAAGUUAUCCAAGUCCACAGGCUACUUUACUGCUUCAACUCAGGGGAGAAACCUCAAUGAACUUUAUUAAUACAAAGUCCAAAGAAAUGAG